CCUACGGGAGGCAGCAGUGGGGGAUAUUGCACAAUGGGGGAAACCCUGAUGCAGCGACGCCGCGUGUGGGAAGACGGUCCUCUGGAUUGUAAACCACUGUCCCCAGGGACGAAGAUGACGUUACCUGGGGACGUAGCUCCGGCAGCAUACGUGCAAGCAGCCGCGGUAAUACGGAGGUAGCGAGCGUUGUCCGGAAUUACUGGGUGUAAAGGGAGCGUGGGCGGGGAUGCAAGUUGGUUGUCCCACCUCCCGGCUCCACUGGUAGUCGCACUCAAAACUGCAGCUCUUGAGUGCAGUAGAGGCAGGCGGAAUUCCUAGUGUAGCGGUGAAAUGCGUAGAUAUUAGGAGGAACACCAGUGGCGAAGGCGGCCUGCUGGGCUGUUACUGACGCUGAGGCUCGAAAGUGUGGGGAGCAAACAGGAUUAGAUACCCCUGUAGUC
rnacentral:rRNA from 1 species